GGAUGUGGCUUCCUCCAAAGUGGAUUUUUCAGGCCUGAAGAAAGCUGGGGAAAACGAAACCUAUUUCAUUGGCUGUCUUGGAUCACUGGGUGUGGCUUCCUCCAAAGUGGAUUUUUUCAGGACUGCAGAGAGCUGGGGAAAACGAAACCUAUUUCAUUGGCUGCCUUGCAUCUCUAGGCGCCGGUCCUAUUUGGAAUCUCUACUGGGAUCCAUGGCGUGGUCAGGAGCAGGCACACUGGUGGUUUCACUCUUCUCUAAGAUUACAGCUUCAGCAGCCAUGGUCAAAGCUGGAGUCUCUGGCACCAUCUAGCUGGCACACAGGGGCAGACACACUUGGGCUUUUCUCUAGACUCCACAGCAGGCAUUUCAUGGGAGAUGAGCUUCUGACUCCUUCCUGAACCAGGGCUCAACCUGUUAGCCCAGACUGCCCUGGGCUUGGAGCAUCUGCACUUGGAUCUUCGUUGGGAGCACUGAAGGUUGGCACCAUCCUAUCGGUGUGCCCUGCCUCUGUCUUGGCUGUUGGUCCCACUGCAGCCUCUUGCUGUUUGCAUCAAGUUUCUGCCUCCUCUCUGGUGGUUGGGGUGGCCACAGUCCUGGGAAAAGAUUCUGGAGGCCUGAGCUUCUCGGGGUCUUACACCACCACCUUGGAACUUUCAAGUCCUUCAUGAUGGAACCAAUUUUUGCAAUUCCUCCAGGGAUGAAAUACCAGUUUGGAUCCACUGUUUCCCUUGGCAGAAGCAACUCUGAAAACUGUAUUUGCCUUUCCAACCUUAAUAGCUGUUAGCAACCAGGCACACCUUGGCCCUGCCCUUUGGGGACCUGACAGAGUGUGUCACCCCUGCACACUUGCCAGGCCAUACCCUGACUCUGUACACAGGCACAAAAGGUCCCUUUAAGACAUGUGCUCCUCCCAUUCCCUCUCUCGGAAUAGGUGGGCCAGUAUUGCCCCCCUCUCAUUUUCUCCCUUUCUUCUUUCUCUUUCUUUUCUCUCCCUUCCCUUCCCCCAAUAAAACUUCCCAGGUAAUCUC